AGCGUACGCUGGCGGCACGCCUAACACAUGCAAGUUCGAACGAGAUAGCAAUACUUAGUGGCAGACGGGUGAGUAACAUGUAGGUAUCUGCCCUUUUGGCCUGGAGAUAACACGAGGGAGAACUUGUGCUAAUACCGGAUAAGUCUUUACGGAGAAAGCUUUAUGCACCAUUGGAUGAGCCUGCACUUGAUUUAGUUUGUUGGUGGGGUAAUGGCCUACCAAGACUGUGAUCAAUAGCUGAUUUGAGAGGAUGAUCAGCCACAUUGGGACUGAGACACGGCCCAAACUCCUACGGGAGGCAGCAGUGGGGAAUCUUGCACAAUGGAGGAAACUCUGAUGCAGCGAUGCCGCGUGAGUGAAGAAGGCCCUUGGGUUGUAAAGCUCUUUCGUCGGGGAAGAAAAUGACUGUACCCGAAUAAGAAGGUCCGGCUAACUUCGUGCCAGCAGCCGCGGUAAUACGAAGGGACCUAGCGUAGUUCGGAAUUACUGGGCUUAAAGAGUUCGUAGGUGGUUGAAAAAGUUAGUGGUGAAAUCCCAGAGCUUAACUCUGGAACUGCCAUUAAAACUUUUCAGCUAGAGUAUGAUAGAGGAAAGCAGAAUUUCUAGUGUAGAGGUGAAAUUCGUAGAUAUUAGAAAGAAUACCAAUUGCGAAGGCAGCUUUCUGGAUCAUUACUGACACUGAGGAACGAAGGCAUGGGUAGCGAAGAGGAUUAGAUACCCUCGUAGUCCAUGCCGUAAACGAUGUGUGUUAGACGUUGGAAAUUUAUUUUCAGUGUCGCAGGGAAACCGAUAAACACACCGCCUGGGGAGUACGACCGCAAGGUUAAAACUCAAAUGAAUUGACGGGGACCCGCACAAGUAGUGGAGCAUGUGGUUUAAUUCGAAGAUACGCGCAGAACCUUACCAACACUUGACAUGUUCGUCGCGACUCUAAGAGAUUAGAGUUUUCGGUUCGGCCGGACGAAACACAGGUGCUGCAUGGCUGUCGUCAGCUCGUGUCGUGAGAUGUUGGGUUAAGUCCCGCAACGAGCGCAACCCUCACUUUUAGUUGCCAUCAUUAAGUUGGGCACUCUGAAAGAACUGCCAGUGAUAAGCUGGAGGAAGGUGGGGAUGACGUCAAGUCCUCAUGGCCCUUACGUGUUGGGCUACACACGUGCUACAAUGGUAUCUACAACAGGAAGCAAGACUGCGAAGUUAAGCAAAUCCCUAAAAGAUACCUCAGUUCGGAUUGCACUCUGCAACUCGAGUGCAUGAAGCUGGAAUUACUAGUAAUCGUGGAUCAGCGUGCCACGGUGAAUGCGUUCCCGGGUCU
rnacentral:rRNA from 1 species